UACGGAGGGGGCUAGUGUUGUUCGGAAUUACUGGGCGUAAAGGGCGCGCAGGCGGCUUGGCAAGUCGAGUGUGAAAUCCCUUGGCUUAACUAAGGAAUGGCGCUCGAAACUACCUCGCUAGAGGACGGGAGAGGGAAGUGGAACUCUCGGUGUAGGGGUGAAAUGCGUAGAUAUCGGAAGGGACAUCAGUGGCGAAAGCGGCUUCCUGGUCCAGCACCGACGUUCAGGCACGAAAGCGUGGGGAGCAAACAGG
rnacentral:rRNA from 1 species